UGCACGCAGCGAUUUGAGGGCUCAGAGCGGCGUCGGAGGGAUACAAAGCGCUGUUCUGAGCUGGCAGACAUAGGGAAUCAACGUCCCGAGGAGAAGAGAACUGAACUGCCCCUUUCCAGAGCUCCAAAAGAGGAUCUUCUAUGGCGGCGAAGGAAUUCUCCCUCUCAGGAUGUCUUCAGACCAAAAAUGAGCCCCUUUCUGGAAGUGCGGAGCUCAGUGUUUUACCAAAGAGCGCCUAGCACCAUAGGGUCCUUGCCCAUUGGUUCAGUGGAGAUGCCCCUAAUUUACACCAGCGUGAGCGAGACCAGAAUCAAGGCCUGUAUACCUGUCAGGAGCCGAGUCAAAAUGGCGUUCUCCGAUGGAAAACUCCCCCAUCAACGUUUUUCCGACCAGCUCAAGAACUGAGCAAACAUGUGCCUAGACGGUCAGGCAGCUGGGGCCAGAUGCGCAACUGAUGGAAAACCACCCGUAGAAGAUCUGUGUAGAUCCUGUUGUUAUUAACAAUAACCCCAUUCAAAUCCAUUUCCAAAAGGAAUCCUGAUAUGAACGGCAGCCCGAAGUUUGGCAGCGGUUCGGGUCUCAGGCAGGAAUAUACAGGACUGUGAGACAAGUAGAGGAUAAACCAGUGGGGCUGUUUCUUAAUAAAUCACUUUGUUCCUUUUUUCAUUAUUAAAAGAAGAACAAAAGAAAAGAAAAGAAAAAAAAAGGGUCUAAAUUCAGUCUCAGGAAUAAAAAUACCCCGUCGGACGAAUUUGCAUCUCACUUUUGCUAUGAAGCCAGCUCUUACGGAGGUGGUCAGGGAGGCAUGACAGCAAACCGCAGCUUGGCAGAGCUGGGCCCCUGCCACCUGCCCUGGCAAAGUCCCGGGGAAAGAACCAACAAAGCCAGCUAGAAAUAACUGCCCAGUCAUUACACACACAAACGGGCACCAGGCGUGCCCAGAGACACCCAAACACGGCACCCUAUCCCCACUGUGCAUGGAUUGUCAGUGGUAAUAGGCCAGUGUUUGUGCAUCAA